CCCGACUAGAGGGACGCCAUUCGGCCACCCCACGAUGGCGUGCGACCACCAUCUUCUUCUUCCUGCAGUCACCAACAGCCUCCAAUCCCUUGAUCGUCCAUGCACUGAACUGAGAAGAAAACUCGAUGACUGGAAGCUCCGAGACUUCUCCAGCGAUUUCUGCAAUUCUCGGCUACUUCGGCCACCGCCUGAGCUGCUUGUGAUGAUGAAUUAAGAAGCUUUAUGGGUUGUAGCACGAGGAAUCAUCAGUUCAUCACCUUCCCAGUCUCAGCAGUGUGUUGGGCUCGGUUGCAGUCGAUUUUCGAAGGUAUAAUUCGAUCUUUGAAUCGAGUUUGUUCGUGUUAAUGAUCGGAAGUGAUGCUACUGAGUUUGGCCUUGCUUGAAUGAAAUUAAAAUUCAGUUUCUCUGUACACUUCGACAGUUUGGUUGCAUGUGUAGAAUGGGUUGUUGUGUCUUGACUUGAAUGAAUUGUGUGUAUCAAGUUUGA